AUGCGUGAUCGUCGGAAUAGUACUGUUGGUUUUGAUUUAUAAUAUUAUUUGAUGAAUUCCUUAUUUCCGAGGUAAAUUUCCGGAAUUAAGCAUAUCCUUAAUCACCGAGUUAAGCUCCUGGAAGAUUUUUAAGAUAAGUUUCAAUGGAGUUGGAUAUUCUCAAUUGUUUAUUGACUUUCGAUUUUGGCAUCGGGAAUGCCUAAUUAAGGAUUUUGGAUUUGGUUGGUUUCUUGGAGAUUUUGAGAGAUUUUUGGAAAUGAGAUUUACUUGUACUAAUUUCCGGUUUUGGUUACGGAUUUGAGAAUAUUUGGGCGUGUGGGACACGCCGUCGAUUUAUUCCUAUUUCUCACUUAUCCAUUUUGAAAUUGAGAGUAAUCUUGGCGUGCGGGUCGUGAUGCGCUAAAAGCAAGCGCAUAAUUUAACCCUGAAAAUAUCGUUAGUAGUAUAAGCAAAUAGUGAUCGUUCUAUUCCGGGGAUU
rnacentral:lncRNA from 1 species